GUUGACCAUGAUUAUAUAUUUUUAAAUUAUAUUUCUGAGAUAUAAUUGUCUCAAUCCAGUGACUUUUUUUUAAGUAGUUUUGAGAUUUUUAAGUGACUUUCCUGUAAUGAAGUUUUCGAUGAAACACCCACUUCAAAUUUAGUUUUUCCUUAGGGUGCGCAUAUUACCCCGUCUUCCCCUGGUUUAGUUCCUUCUCGAAGAAUGUUUCCCAACUCAUGUGCUGCUUCUGCCAUCGUUCGGGAUGCUCUAUGAGGAAAUUUUCCUUCUGCCAUCAGCAAGCGUCUGACGAAGAACGAUGGAUUCUCUCUGUUCCAGCGCGCUGGCGUAGUUGGUGGGAGUUUUAUCCUUACCUCCGGACAAAAAAAGGCUGGUAUAUAUGCACAGGAGGAGAUGUUGACGCAAUAACGAAUGGCAAAUUGAAAACUGGAAUGACAGGAACAUUUUGAUGAAUGGUGGAAAUCAAUUCCAUUUUGGCUUGGUAUGCAGUCAGUUAUGAUUUUGUUGGAGGAAUUCGAUCGAAUGACGUUAAAUAUGAUGGAUCGAAAUACUCGAUAUUGUGUUGAGAACGAAUGCAAAUAAUAGGAGAACGGGAAUGAAUGUUAUGUAAUAUGUGCAUCGAUAGAUAGAAAGAUAAAUUAUUUUUCAGAUGAAACACUACUGUAUUCCAGCGUAUUUUUUUCGUAGAUGGUGUUGAUUACAAGCAGAGCCAAAGCCACCACUUUGCGAUUUGCAGCCUGAGGCUAAUAUAGGCGCGUGCGGCACCGACGAAAACGACGACAACCACUCUUGGCAAGCUGCAUAUCAUCCAUCUCUCGCGUUGUCACGAGCAGAAUUAACCAAAUAAAAUAUGACUGCGUUCGACGAAACGAUAUUUUAAAAAUAAAUAAAAAUACAAUUUAUGCGUUCAUUUUCCGCGUCCCAAUUGAGGGAGGCGAAUGAAGAAAAAAAGAAGAAAACUUGAGAAUGUA